CCUACGGGUGGCAGCAGUGGGGAAUAUUGCACAAUGGGGGAAACCCUGAUGCAGCGACGCCGCGUGAGUGAAGAAGUAUUUCGGUACGUAAAGCUCUAUCAGCAGGGAAGAAAAUGACGGUACCUGACUAAGAAGCCCCGGCUAACUACGGGCCAGCAGCCGCGGUAAUCCGUAGGGGGCAAGCGUUAUCCGGAUUUACUGGGUGUAAAGGGAGCGUAGACGGCAGCGCAAGUAGGGAGUGAAAUCCCAUGGCUUAACCAUGGAACUGCUGUGGACACUGUGCAGCUAGAGUGCAGGAGAGGUAAGCGGAAUUCCUAGGGUAGCGGUGAAAUGCGUAGAUAUUAGGAGGAACACCAGUGGCGAAGGCGGCUUACAGGACUGUAACUGACGUUGAGGCUCGAAAGCGUGGGGAGCAAACAGGAUUAGAUACCCGUGUAGUC
rnacentral:rRNA from 1 species